rnacentral:rRNA from 1 species
UACAGAGGUCCCAAGCGUUGUUCGGAUUCAUUGGGCGUAAAGGGUGCGUAGGCGGCGCGGUAAGUCGGGUGUGAAAUCUCGGAGCUUAACUCCGAAACUGCAUUCGAUACUGCCGUGCUUGAGGACUGGAGAGGAGACUGGAAUUUACGGUGUAAGCGGUGAAAUGCGUAGAUAUCGUAAGGAAGACCAGUGGCGAAGGCGGGUCUCUGGACAGUUCCUGACGCUGAGGCACGAAGGUCAGGGAGCAAA